rnacentral:lncRNA from 1 species
CCCCAUCACUGACAGCAAACACAAUGUCACAGUGACACUGAUGCUGUGGCUUCUGUGCCCUGCCAGGAACAUCUGGUGUCCUGGUGUCUGGCAGCAACAGCUGAUGCUGCACAUGCCUUUUGGAAGAGGUCUUCACAGCCCACAAGGCAGCUAUCCCUAGCAUUCUCUCUCCAGCUGCCCUGAAUCAGGGGCUCAGCAGCAGCUCUACAACCAUCUCUGAUAGCACUGCUGCACAAAUGGGAUCUUCCAAGAGGGCAGAACCAACAUCUGGAGGCUAGAAACUGUGUCAGCCAUCCUCAGCUAUCUGGUUCCUAUUCCUGAACUGGGACUUUCAGGUCUUCCUUCUGAGGUGCAGUUUUCAUGCACAUUAGUCACCCUGAGCAGCCUGCACAAAGUUGAUCCUGACCUGCACCGUGCCAUCUUUUGCCAGCAGGCUUCACUGCUAAUCUACCAUGAAGGAUGCUUCAUUUGCCGCCAGCAUGAAGAUGUCACCUAUGCUGUGUGCAGGACUGCCAGUAGCACGGAUGGUCUCUCUGCAGGGGUGGCAUGGAGGAACAGCCCUGCAUCAGAAAGAUGUUUCAAAACACUGUACAAAGAAAAUGAAUGGUGUGCCUGGGGUAGGCUGCUAGGCUCAGAGGAAAGGCUAUGA